rnacentral:rRNA from 1 species
CCUACGGGAGGCAGCAGUGGGGGAUAUUGCACAAUGGGGGGAACCCUGAUGCAGCGACGCCGCGUGGGUGAAGAAGCGCCUCGGCGCGUAAAGCUCUGUCAGCAGGGAAGAAAAUGACGGUACCUGAAGAAGAAGCCCCGGCUAACUACGUGCCAGCAGCCGCGGUAAUACGUGGGGGGCAAGCGUGAUCCGGAUUUACUGGGGGUAAGGGGGGCGCAGACGGCGCUGCAGGCCAGGAGUGAAGGCCCGGGGCCCAACCCCGGGACUGAUCUUGGAACUGCGUGGCUGGAGUGCAGGAGGGGCAGGCGGAAUUCCUGGUGUAGCGGUGAAAUGCGUAGAUAUCAGGAGGAACACAGGUGGCGAAGGCGGCCUGCUGGACUGCAACUGACGUUGAGGCCCGAAAGCGUGGGGAGCAAACAGGAUUAGAUACCCUUGUAGU